rnacentral:rRNA from 1 species
AUUGAACGCUGGCGGCAGGCCUAACACAUGCAAGUCGAGCGGGGUUUUCGGACCUAGCGGCGGACGGGUGAGUAAUGCGUAGGAAGCUACCCGGUAGAGGGGGAUACCAGUUGGAAACGACUGUUAAUACCGCAUAAUGUCUACGGACCAAAGUGUGGGACCUUCGGGCCACAUGCUAUCGGAUGAGCCUACGUGGGAUUAGCUAGUGGGUGAGGUACUGGCUCACCAAGGCGUCGAUCCCUAGCUGGUUUGAGAGGAUGAUCAGCCACACUGGAACUGAGAGACGGUCCGGACUCCUACAGGAGGCAGCAGUGGGGAAUAUUGGACAAGGGGCGCAAGCCUGACCCAGCCAUGCCGCGUGUGUGAAGAAGGCCUUCGGGUUGUAAAGCACUUUCAGUAGGUAGGAAGCGUUGUGUGUUAAUAGUACACAGCGUUGACGUUACCUACAGAAGAAGCACCGGCUAACUCUGUGCCAGCCGCCGCAGUAAUAC